rnacentral:lncRNA from 1 species
UACAGGGUAGAAGUGGGACCUAAAGGCAGGUGUUUCUGACUCAAAACCCCACAUUGACAUGGAUUUGGGAUGGUGGGAGCACAGCUCUGUUAGGACGAGAACAGGAGACUGAGCCCUGGAACGUGAAGAUUUUGCCCAACAUCACACAGCUUGAAAAUGACGAUGAAACUCAAGCAUCCGCCUCCAGAGACUGUGCGAUGACUCUCGACUAUCCAUAGCCCUUCGAGGAGCUCGAUCACUUGUGGGCACACAGCAGGGACCUAAUCAAGAGACACUAGCCCUAACCUUUCUGUGAGGGCAAACCCUCUCCUCAGUGCCCCUGCACACAUCUUCCCACAUCUAAGUCUUUGCGAAGAAGGGGCUCCCUGCCUGAAAUACCUUUCCUGUUUCUCUCCUCACCACAAUACCCUCCAUGUUUAUCAAGGCCAAAGGGAAGAUCUGCCUCCUCCAGGAAGCCAACAGGGAUCACACCGGGACAAACGGGUUAAUCUGAAACUCCAAAUAUUCUAUCUGUAGUGAAAGUAUGUUUUCUCUUUUAUUGCCUGCCUAUGUCAUUAAUCACUCCUUCUGGAAGUAACCUCCAAUCUUCUUUUGAGGGAGCCAGCACAUCCAAAUUAUCAGUCCAGGUGAUUUACCUGAAGCUCAACUCCAACCCCAGGCUCCAAGAAUGAGAUACCACCAAACCUGGGCCAACUACCGGACCUCAGGAUGUUUGUUAAACCUAUGUUGGGAAAUAGACACAAUUUUUAUUCUGGGGAGGACAAGCUGGUAGGGUGUAGACCCUGGAGAUGCCUGUGCCCAUCUUUUCCCUUACUGAGGAGAGACUGGUUAAGAAUCAAGAAUAAAACAAAAGGAGACAUAUGCCCAAUGGCAUUAUUUGAACUCAUUGAUCCAGCCAUAUCUGAAUCAGUUAAGUGUUCCAAUACAUGUAUUCUUGUCUCCUGAAGCCAUUUUGAGUUGAGUUUCUACCACUUGCAACUAAAAGACUCUUAAUGCACACACACUCUUCAACAUUUUAGCCCUGCAGACUCACCCUUUCAUAAUUUUCUAUUACAAACAAUGUAUUCUAUAACCCCAGAAAUCUUACAGGCUCCUUAAGGACAGCAGCAGAUUCCUUUUCUAAGGGACCAAGAACUUAUACCAGAGUUCAGGGUA